rnacentral:rRNA from 1 species
UACGUAGGUGGCAAGCGUUGUUCGGAAUUAUUGGGCGUAAAGCGCGCGCAGGCGGCCUUUUAAGUCUGAUGUGAAAGCCCACGGCUCAACCGUGGAGGGUCAUUGGAAACUGGAAGGCUUGAGUGCAGAAGAGAAGAGCGGAAUUCCACGUGUAGCGGUGAGAUGCGUAGAGAUGUGGAGGAACACCAGUGGCGAAGGCGGCUCUUUGGUCUGUAACUGACGCUGAGGCGCGAAAGCGUGGGGAGCGAACAGG